rnacentral:rRNA from 1 species
UACGUAGGGGGCAAGCGUUAUCCGGAUUUACUGGGUGUGAAGGGAGCGUAGACGGCAUAGCAAGUCUGAAGUGAAAGCCCGUGGCUCAACCGCGGAACUGCUUUGGAAACUGUUAAGCUGGAGUACUGGAGAGGCAAGCGGAAUUCCUAGUGUAGCGGUGAAAUGCGUAGAUAUUAGGAGGAACACCAGUGGCGAAGGCGGCUUGCUGGACAGAGACUGACGUUGAGGCUCGAAAGCGUGGGGAGCAAACAGG